GUGUCGCGUCCCGGGACCGGACGACAGGAGGCAUGUUCUGCGCUAGCACCGUGACUUUGUUCCCAGCGUGGGGACUGUGGGAGAGAUGGAGAGAGACUGGUACAGAAAUGGUGAGACAAGGAGAGAGCCAUAAAGAGGAAGACAGAGAGAAAGAAGACAAAUGCAUAAAGAGGUUCAGAGACGUGUGACUGUGGAGAUCGAAGGCCUGGUUUUAGGGCUAGCGAACACCUUCUCCCUUUGGUUUUGGUCCACAGAAGACUGGUGAUACAGAGCAUCCUCGCCAGGAGAGGCAGAGUCCAUGGAGCAGCCGAGACAGCUGUGGAAGAGAAGGUGCCAUGCGGAGCUACUGAGAGAGAGGGAAGGGCACCCCAUCACUACACACAGCAAAAAAUGACCUUCUGCCAAAGAAGCUGAUGGUUCAGGAAGAAAAUAGAGCUGACUAUCCCUGAAGGAAAAGGAAACGUGGUACUGUUUUGCUUUAUCACAAAUACAAACAAAAGGUUUAAAGAUGGAAAGAAAAGAACAGAAAGGAAAAAGAGUGAAAAGCCAGGAAAAGCACCUAGGAGGAAUAGCCCUCUGCUGCCAUACUCACAGGAUUGAGCAGGGGGGCCGCCUCGCUGGCAGCCAGCGUGCACCCUGGGAGCCGCAUGUCCCUCUGAGUUGCUGGGAAGCCCAAAGGCCCAGGCCCCACUGAGGCUGCUCCCAGCUGCCGCAGCUCCUCAAUCACCACCUGCACGCCGCUGCCCACGCUGUCACACUCCUCUUCCACGGCAGACAGAGCCUUAAAGGCUUCCCCGGGACUUUCCUUGAGAGGCCCAGGCUCCUCAGGUGGGGAACUAUGUGCCCGGCUUUCCCCAUCUUCAUCAGGGAUGGACACUUUCCCUUGCCUCAGGUCACCCACUUCCUCCUGGAGACGUUUUAACAACUCAUUGUUGGCCCUGGCAAGACCCAGAGCAGCUUCAGCCAAACCCACUGCCUUAUCGACCCGCUGGUAGAUAACAUGCAGGAGCUGCUCUGAGCUCUGAACAGCCAAGCCAUGUCCAGUCACUGUGAUGGGGGUGCUGGGAGGAGGAUUCCCACCCUGGGAGCCUGUGUUGCCUCCAUUAGUCUCACUCUUACAGGCGCAGCAGCAGCAUCUGGCCUCGCUGCCACUGGGAGGGGAGAAGAGAAUGGUGGCACUGAAGGACAUGGCGGAUGGGGCAGUAACAACCACGCUUACACUGCUGGGCCGCUCCAACAGGUAGGAAGCAUCAACUUCUCUGGACUCACUUUCCUUUCUCAAUGAGGAUGGUCAGAGGAGCCCAGGCCCCAAGCUGUAGGGUCUGUGAAAGAAGAGUAAACAAGCCAUGAAGAAGCACACAGUCCAUGGCGGCCUCUCCUCGGCCUGCAGAAGGGAGACAGGUGCCUUCUAUUUGCAGAUCCUGUGCUCUCCUAGCACAUCACAAAUCAAGGCCUUCCUGAUGAACGGUUUCAGACGGUAGAGAGCAUUCCUUCUGCCCCCCAGCAUGGAACCCCCGACUAGUGCAACCUAAGGAACAGGGAAGGGAUUCAGAAGGACCUUCCGGCAUCUGGAAAGAUUAGAAGAUUAAGGAAGAAAAUGUAGAUCUGUCUCCUCCUCCUCCUCACCAUCUUUACUGUAAUAAUGGUACUGCAUUUCAUUGCUUUGACAUUGUUCCUUAAGGUGUUCAGAACACUUCACAUAAGUUACCUCAUCUACUCAACAGCACUAGGAAACAUAUUACUCCAGGUCCAGAGAAGAGACAUGUGGAGAAGUUAUAUGUCUUUUUCAAGGUCAGAGGAAUAACAGCAGAAUCCAGUUAUUGCUACUUUCAAUGUAGUGUUGUAUUUUUUUUUAACUGAUACCACUUUUUGUUGACAUUAACAAUCAUGACAAUCAUGAUUC
rnacentral:lncRNA from 1 species